rnacentral:lncRNA from 1 species
GUCAGUAUGAUGUAGAGCAAGACUGGAAGAGCUUCUCUGUUUUCGGUUUCACUUUUGGGCUUGCGUACAGACGGCUACCACGUUGGCUGGCUAAGUUGCUCUGUGCAAUCAACACAUAAAAACUGGCAUCCUAAUGCUACCACAAUUGACACCCCCACUCUUAAAAUAAGAACGAUGCCAAGGACUGCAUUAGUUGAAAAUAUAUUGUCAAUUUGGAAGAUGACUAUAAUGAGCCUUCAUGGAGUAGCUGAUGGAAGCGGAAGCAGACACCCACAACUAAACACUGACCUGAACUCUGGAAUCCAGUUGCAGAGAGGGAGGAGUGUUGAGCAAAGGGGUCAAGACCAGGCUAUAGAAACCCACAGAAACAGCUGUCCUGAACAAGGGGUUGCUCAUGGAUCCCAGACUGAUAGCUGGGAAACCAGCAAAGGACUGUUCCAGACCCCCUGAAGGAGGAAGCCAGUUUGGAGGUCUGGACAAUCUACAGGGCCUCUGGUAGUGGAUCAGUAUUUACUCCGAGUACACAAAUGAACUUUGGGAGCCCUCUCUUCAUAGAGGGAUACUCUUGCAGCCUAGACACACUGGGGAGGGUCUAGGCCCUGCUCCAAAUGAUAUGACAGACUUUGAAGAUUACCCAAAGAGGGCCUCACCCUCCCUGGGGAGCAGAAAGGGG